rnacentral:rRNA from 1 species
GAUGAACGCUAGCGAUAGGCUUAACACAUGCAAGUCGAGGGGCAGCACAAGGUAGCUUGCUAUCUGGGUGGCGACCGGCGCACGGGUGCGUAACGCGUAUGCAACUUGCCCUAUACAGGAGGAUAACCCGUCGAAAGACGGACUAAUACUGCGUAUGCUCACAACUUGGCAUCCAGUGGUGAGGAAAGAAAUUCGGUAUAGGAUAGGCAUGCGUCCCAUUAGCUUGUUGGUGAGGUAACGGCUCACCAAGGCAACGAUGGGUAGGGGAACUGAGAGGUUUAUCCCCCAGACGGGUACUGAGACACGGACCAGACUCCUACGGGGGGCAGCAGUGAGGAAUAUUGGGCAAUGGGCGCGAGCCUGAACCAGCCAAGUCGCGUGAAGGAUGACUGUCUUAGGGAUUGUAAACUUCUUUUAUACGGGAAUAACAAGAGUCACGGGUGACUCCCUGCAUGUACCGUAUGAAUAAGCAUCGGCUAACUCCGUG